UUGCAGGGGAUGAACAACCAAGGGAGUGUGCAUCGUGAGCAAGCUUGUUUGGGCCUUAGGCCCAAACAGCCAAGGCGUAACCAGGUCCAACUACCAAACAUAACAUGCUGAAGGAAAGAAAAGAAGAAGAACACUUAUGGAAAAGUGCUUAACAUGCUUCGACUACUAUCACCGUUAGCCUCAAUCGCGUUCAAGCAUGAGACAACGCUCGAAUGGAUCGUACCAACACCACCACACUCCUCUGUCUCUCAACCUCGCACCUAACAAUCAUCGUCAUCAUUCGCUGAUACUUCACGGCUCAGGAUAUUUCGUCAAUCGGUUCCGACGCGGUAUCUCGAUGAUUCGACUCUUACAAGAUGAGUAACAACAGCUAUUGUAUCCUACGGCACCGAAUCGAUCUUUGAAUUGCAUCGAAUCAGUAAGAGAGGGAUCUUACCUGAGUGAACUUGUCGUUACUUUCGCUGAGCCUGUUGCGUGCGAAUCUAAGCGUCGAACGGAUUAUGGUACCGGAUUCUCGCAGGAUUGUUGAGCGGCGGAAACGCACGGAUUGACGUUGACCACAGGGAGAUCUUGCAGGUAUUUGGAAGAAGGUUGGAGGCUAGGUAUGCUAUGAAUCCCGUGCGCACGAAAGAGGAACGAAAACUUUUUCAAUGUGGAGGAAGAGGAUGGAAGAACUCGUGAAAAUCGAAUCCAAAAAAGAAGCCCCAAAUUUACUGCGUGUUAGUUUUGAGUUGGUUGCGUUAAGAUGAGCUUGUGGCUCGCGUUUUCAGUUUGGAAGCUGGUUCGCGUUGGAAGCAGCUGUGGGAUUGUCUUGCAGGUGCGUUUAUUUAAGUUGUAGUUGAUGCCGUUUGAAGCCUUGAUGCUCGCUUAGCUCGGUUUAUCAGUUUGCAGUUUUGUUUUGGCUUACACGUGCGUUUUUUGCAGCUUAUGGCUUAUGCAGUUUGUGUUGCAGAUGAUUGUUUCCUGCUGCGUUAUCAAGCAUUUCUCUGCCGCCGCUUUGGCUUAGCAGCUCACUCACGUGCGGCUUUGGUUUCACAUUGGCUGCCGUUUUUCGCUUAUUUUGCUGCUGCGUUAUGUUCAUUUCUGUUUUGCAGCUUGGAGUUGCACUCUUGGCUUAGGUAGCUUGUUGGAGCGCGCGCAAUGUAGCAGUUGUUAGCAGCUUUUGGCAGUUUUUUGCGCGUGUUGAAAGUAGCCGUUAGCAGCUGGGUUUGCUAUUGCAGCUGGUGGCGUGGGCUUAAGGAUCUUUUGGUUUCAUGUGGUAGCAGCUUUUGCUGCGUUUUUGCUUUGCAAUGCGCCUUGUUGUAGCUUAGUGUCUGCUGUACCGGCUUGUGGCCUUUGACAUGUUAUAGCUUACUACCAAUUAAAAGUGAAUACAUGACAAUACUAUAUUAGUAAAUUAAUUAUAUGGAUAAACGAAUGAAAAUUGGACUUGUGGAUUAAAA